CCGGCAUGUUACCAAACAGGAGGAUUACAACCAAAAAUAAAUUAAAGAUAGAACCAAAAAAUUUCUAAAUCCCGAGAAUAAGAAUGCUUAGAAGUAGAAAUAAACAUUUGUUAAUCAUUUUUAAGGAUUUUAGUUUUAUAUUUAAUUUAUAUAAAUAAAAAUAAAUUAUAUAUAUAUAUAUAUAUAUAUAUAAUGUUUAUAUUCUUAACGGGUUAACGGAUUAGCCGUUAAGAAAAUUGAAUAAUCCAUCCCCAAACC
rnacentral:lncRNA from 1 species